UUAUCAUAAUGUCAGUUUAUAAUCUUCUGGCUUUCGAAGCAGCAACAGUAACAUUUCAAUUCUGAAAUAACAUUUAUUGAAUCAACAGAAACAGCUCAAUGUGAUUCAUUACAAAAACAGACAGGUGCAAAAAUUCGGGCACCCAAUGGAAUAAUCGCAAAUAUUGGUAUGCACUGACGUCACUAUCCCGCGGGAACACGCGCCUCAGCCGGACUGAAGAGCUGCUGACUGGAUUUAAUAGAGGAAACUGCGAGUAAAACACGAUUAAAACACUAAAGGUUGAACUCGAUAAUGUUCCUGCUACAUCUGACCAAAGAUCCAGUAAUCCAUGGAUAUCGACAAGCAGUCAGGAAUCGUGUUUCCAGACAUUUAUACGUGCCUGAUUUCGACGCCGGGGAAACACACAAAGCAAAUCUGCGUGAACGCUUUAUAUUUACACAAUAUAGUGGGCGUGACCGCAGUCUCAACGGCCGAUGGUGACGUCACGACAGUUUUGCGUUGCAACCAAUCAUCAAGUGACUGCAGCUCGUAGAAGUCCAGAUGAGCGCCGGACGGGAAGUCGUCGUCCAGCAGGAGCUUCAUGAGUUUGGCUCCGGACUCGCGGCAGGAGAGCAGCUGACCCUCGGAGCACAUGGAGCAGAAGGAGCGCCGCAGCGUCAGGUCUCCAGAGAAACGCCGCGCCUGAAGCUGCAUGUCUGUGUCCAGAGGACCUGCGGCACCGCCAGAUCAGAAACAUGUUCGAGAGUCUUCCUCACACACUUCUUUUGAUUUGAUCAGUGUGUCUUUGUCACAGUGGCCCCAGAUUUUAAGUUAAUAUUUCAGUAACACAUUUGCAUGUUCACAAUUGUUCUCUGAUGUCGGGUAAUGGUCACAUGACAUGCAGGUCAUUUCUGCAUCAUCAGACACUCACCCGGAGCGUAACUCAGCACUCGGACGUCCGGCUCCUCCUCGGCCAACACUCGGAACAUCAUGUCCCGGGCGGCUUUCCCGGUGCAGUACAGGACCCAGGAC